rnacentral:rRNA from 1 species
GAUCCUGGCUCAGAAUCAACGCUGGCGGCGCGCUUAACACAUGCAAGUCGAACGAGAAAGGGGAGCAAUCCCUGAGUAAAGUGGCGUACGGGUGAGUAACACGUGGGUAAUCUACCUUUUGGUGGGGAAUAACCCUGGGAAACCGGGGCUAACACCGCAUAAGCUCGAAAGAGGAAAAGAGAAAUCUGCCGAAAGAGGGGCCCGCGGCUGAUUAGCUAGUUGGUGAGGUAAAGGCUCACCAAGGCAAUGAUCGGUAGCCGGCCUGAGAGGGCACACGGCCACACUGGCACUGAAACACGGGCCAGACUCCUACGGGAGGCAGCAGUGGGGAAUCUUGCACAAUGGGGGAAACCCUGAUGCAGCGACGCCGCGUGAGUGAUGAAGCCCUUCGGGGUGUAAAGCUCUUUCGGCAGGGACGAUAAUGACGGUACCUGAAGAAGAAGCUGCGGCUAACUACGUGCCAGCAGCCGCGGUAAUACGUAGGCAGCGAGCGUUGUUCGGAGUUACUGGGCGUAAAGAGUGCGUAGGCGGUUUUCUAAGUUUGGUGUGAAAUCUCCCGGCUUAACUGGGAGGGUGCGCCGAAGACUGGAAGGCUUGAGUAUGGGAGAGGUAAGCGGAAUUCCUGGUGUAGCGGUGAAAUGCGUAGAUAUCAGGAGGAACACCUGCGGUGUAGACGGCUUACUGGACCAU